rnacentral:rRNA from 1 species
ACUCCUACGGGAGGCAGCAGUGGGGAAUCUUGCGCAAUGGGGGAAACCCUGACGCAGCAACGCCGCGUGCGGGACGAAGGCUCUCGGGUCGUAAACCGCUUUCAGGAGGGAAGAAAAUGACGGUACCUCCAGAAGAAGCCCCGGCCAACUACGUGCCAGCAGCCGCGGUAACACGUAGGGGCGAGCGUUGUCCGGAUUUAUUGGGCGUAAAGAGCUCGUAGGCGGCUUGGUAAGUCGGGUGUGAAACCUCCAGGCUCAACCUGGAGACGCCACUCGAUACUGCUAUGGCUAGAGUCCGGUAGGGGAGCGUGGAAUUCCUGGUGUAGCGGUGAAAUGCGCAGAUAUCAGGAGGAACACCAGCGGCGAAGGCGGCGCUCUGGGCCGGAACUGACGCUGAGGAGCGAAAGCAUGGGGGAGCGAACAGGAUUAGAUACCCGGUAGGCUCU